GUGUCAGCCGCCGCGGUAAUACGGAGGGUGCAAGCGUUAAUCGGAAUUACUGGGCGUAAAGCGCGCGUAGGCGGCUUUGUAAGUCGGAUGUGAAAGCCCCGGGCUUAACCUGGGAAUUGCAUUCGAUACUGCAUAGCUAGAGUAUGGUAGAGGGUAGCGGAAUUCCGGGUGUAGCGGUGAAAUGCGUAGAUAUCCGGAGGAACACCAGUGGCGAAGGCGGCUACCUGGACCAAUACUGACGCUGAGGUGCGAAAGCGUGGGGAGCAAACAGGAUUAGAAACCCCCGUAGUCC
rnacentral:rRNA from 1 species